rnacentral:lncRNA from 10 species
CUUUGUGUUCAUGUGCAUUCAAUGUUUAGCUGCCACUUAUAGGUGAGAACAUGUAGUAUUUGGUUUUCUCUUUCGUUUAGCUCAUUUAGGAUAGUGGCCUCCAGCUCUAUCCACGUUCUGACAAAGAAAACCUUGUUGGGAGUUUGAUUAGACGGCUGAGAAAGACAGCAAAUCUACAGGGUUUGUCAAAGAUAAGAUCGUUGUCAUGGCAUGAAAAGGAUGACCUUUCCAGUCUGCAAUACCUGCUUGACCACUAAGACCAAACAGCUCAAAUUAAAGCUUUCCUUGGCCAUGGUGACUGAGUCAAGGACAGACUCAUAAUCUAAGGCAAAGCAAUAAGUCAUCAGGAGACUCAAUACCUGCGUGUCUCUCAACCAUUGGAAAAAGUGAAUAUUCUUUGUAUCUGGAUGUGAAUGAGAAAAUACACAACCCCAGGAGCUGCUAGAACCCAUCUUGAGUUUG